UACGUAGGGGGCAAGCGUUAUCCGGAUUUACUGGGUGUAAAGGGAGCGUAGACGGCAGCGCAAGUCUGGAGUGAAAUGCCGGGGCCCAACCCCGGAACUGCUCUGGAAACUGUUUCCCUUGAGUGUCGGAGAGGUAAUCGGAAUUCCUUGUGUAGCGGUGAAAUGCGUAGAUAUAAGGAAGAACACCAGUGGCGAAGGCGGAUUACUGGACGAUAACUGACGGUGAGGCGCGAAAGCGUGGGGAGCAAACAGG
rnacentral:rRNA from 1 species